rnacentral:rRNA from 1 species
UGUAGUCUGCAACCCGACUACAUGAAGCUGGAAUCGCUAGUAAUCGCGGAUCAGCAUGCCGCGGUGAAUACGUUCCCGGGCCUUGUACACACCGCCCGUCACACCAUGGGAGUUUGUAACGCCCAAAGUCGGUGGCCUAACCUUUAUGGAGGGAGCCGCCUAAGGCGGGACAGAUGACUGGGGUGAAGUCGUAACAAGGUAUC